rnacentral:lncRNA from 1 species
AAGUUAAAAUUACCCAUGCCACCUCAGCCAACUUAAUGAUUCUUUCCACAAAAUAGAUAGUGGGGCAACGUGACUCACGGAAAUAAAGCUCAGGAGGUAUACAAGGUCAUCUUAAAGUUCAGGGGCAAACUGAGACAAAAUUGAAAGCACAUGAGGCAUUUCAAUAUUUUUUUUAUUAUUGCGGUCUAUUAGUAUAAAUUAAUACUAACCCCCGUUUUCAAGGAUUUUUCUCAGAUAUAUCUUUCCCUCUUUUUAUGUUUUCAUCACUCAGUCUUGAGUCUUCUUUAACCUUACAGUUGAAAACCUCUCUCUCUCUCUCUCUCUCUCUCUCUCUCUCUCUCUCUCUCUCUCUCUCUCGUCCUAAACCGACCGAACUCGAAUUUUAUAGAUUGUAAUCAAAAUAUCUUAUUCGAUAGGCAUAUGGUAUGAUAAUUUGUACUCAAUGUCACUUUUGAGUUUCAGUUUCGUGAUUAUAUUGUAGUUGGUCGA